rnacentral:lncRNA from 1 species
UUAGUUUGCAAUUUGAAGACCGAAUUAGCCUUCGCUUAGUUGGGUGAUUCGUGUCGGAUUUGAAUUAGAGUAGUGUGUACUUGUCGUUAAUCUGUGAUUGGAAGCAUAGUAAUUGAGUUAAUGACCAACCGUUUUCACAUCCUGUUUUUACAUUUCUUUUACACUUUUGUUUGCAUUCGUGUUUUAAUUUCGUUUAUCCGCAUUCAUAAACCUUUCACAACCCCCCACUCCCCC